ACCACUUCGGUGGGGAUUAGUGGCGAACGGGUGAGUAACACGUGGGCAAUCUGCCCUGCACUCUGGGACAAGCCCUGGAAACGGGGUCUAAUACCGGAUAUGAGCUUCCGCCGCAUGGCGGGGGCUGUAAAGCUCCGGCGGUGCAGGAUGAGCCCGCGGCCUAUCAGCUUGUUGGUGAGGUAACGGCUCACCAAGGCGACGACGGGUAGCCGGCCUGAGAGGGCGACCGGCCACACUGGGACUGAGACACGGCCCAGACUCCUACGGGAGGCAGCAGUGGGGAAUAUUGCACAAUGGGCGCAAGCCUGAUGCAGCGACGCCGCGUGAGGGAUGACGGCCUUCGGGUUGUAAACCUCUUUCAGCAGGGAAGAAGCGCAAGUGACGGUACCUGCAGAAGAAGCGCCGGCUAACUACGUGCCAGCAGCCGCGGUAAUACGUAGGGCGCGAGCGUUGUCCGGAAUUAUUGGGCGUAAAGAGCUCGUAGGCGGCUUGUCGCGUCGGUUGUGAAAGCCCGGGGCUUAACCCCGGGUCUGCAGUCGAUACGGGCAGGCUAGAGUUCGGUAGGGGAGAUCGGAAUUCCUGGUGUAGCGGUGAAAUGCGCAGAUAUCAGGAGGAACACCGGUG
rnacentral:rRNA from 1 species